GCCCGGUUGGCGAAAUCGGUAUCGCUUCCGACUCUUAGCGUUUAAGAUCUUACAAGAUCGAGCUUGAUCGGACGAUUGUGGGUUCGAGCCCCACAUCGGGCU